rnacentral:rRNA from 1 species
AUACGGAGGGUGCAAGCGUUAUCCGGAAUUAUUGGGUUUAAAGGGUCCGUAGGCGGCUAGAUAAGUCAGUGGUGAAAUUCUCUCGCUCAACGAGAGACCUGCCAUUGAUACUGUCUUGGCUAGAGUUACAGUGAGGUGAGUGGAAUGUGUAGUGUAGCGGUGAAAUGCAUAGAUAUUACACAGAACACCGAUUGCGAAGGCAGCUCACUAACUGUAUACUGACGCUGAUGGACGAAAGCGUGGGGAGCAAACGGGAUUAGAAACCCUAGUAGUCC